GUGAACGCUGGCGGUCGGCCUCACACAUGCCAGUCGAACGGCAGCACAGUGAGAGCUUGCUCUUACGGGUGGCGAGUGGCGGACGGGUGAGGAAUACAUCGGAAUCUACUUUUUCGUGGGGGAUAACGUAGGGAAACUUACGCUAAUACCGCAUACGACCUACGGGUGAAAGCAGGGGAUCUUCGGACCUUGCGCGAUUGAAUGAGCCGAUGUCGGAUUAGCUAGUUGGCGGGGUAAAGGCCCACCAAGGCGACGAUCCGUAGCUGGUCUGAGAGGAUGAUCAGCCACACUGGAACUGAGACACGGUCCAGACUCCUACGGGAGGCAGCAGUGGGGAAUAUUGGACAAUGGGCGCAAGCCUGAUCCAGCCAUACCGCGUGGGUGAAGAAGGCCUUCGGGUUGUAAAGCCCUUUUGUUGGGAAAGAAAAGCAGCAGGUUAAUACCCCGCUGUUCUGACGGUACCCAAAGAAUAAGCACCGGCUAACUUCGUG
rnacentral:rRNA from 1 species